rnacentral:rRNA from 1 species
UAGGGAAUCUUCCACAAUGGACGCAAGUCUGAUGGAGCAACGCCGCGUGAGUGAAGAAGGUUUUCGGAUCGUAAAGCUCUGUUGUUGGUGAAGAAGGAUAGAGGCAGUAACUGGUCUUUAUUUGACGGUAAUCAACCAGAAAGUCACGGCUAACUACGUGCCAGCAGCCGCGGUAAUACGUAGGUGGCAAGCGUUGUCCGGAUUUAUUGGGCGUAAAGCGAGCGCAGGCGGAAUGAUAAGUCUGAUGUGAAAGCCCACGGCUCAACCGUGGAACUGCAUCGGAAACUGUCAUUCUUGAGUGCAGAAGAGGAGAGUGGAACUCCAUGUGUAGCGGUGGGAUGCGUAGAUAUAUGGAAGAACACCAGUGGCGAAGGCGGCUCUCUGGUCUGCAACUGACGCUGAGGCUCGAAAGCAUGGGUAGCGAACAGGAUUAGAUACCCUGGUAGUCCAUGCCGUAAACGAUGAGCGCUAGGUGUUGGGGGACUUUCCGGUUCUCAGUGCCGCAGCAAACGC